GAUGAACGCUGGCGGCGUGCCUAAUACAUGCAAGUCGAGCGAACGGACGAGGAGCUUGCUUCUCUGAUGUUAGCGGCGGACGGGUGAGUAACACGUGGAUAACCUACCUAUAAGACUGGGAUAACUUCGGGAAACCGGAGCUAAUACCGGAUAAUAUUUUGAACCGCAUGGUUCAAAAGUGAAAGACGGUCUUGCUGUCACUUAUAGAUGGAUCCGCGCUGCAUUAGCUAGUUGGUAAGGUAACGGCUUACCAAGGCAACGAUGCAUAGCCGACCUGAGAGGGUGAUCGCCCACACUGGAACUGAGACACGGUCCAGACUCCUACGGGAGGCAGCAGUAGGGAAUCUUCCGCAAUGGGCGAAAGCCUGACGGAGCAACGCCGCGUGAGUGAUGAAGGUCUUCGGAUCGUAAAACUCUGUUAUUAGGGAAGAACAUAUGUGUAAGUAACUGUGCACAUCUUGACGGUACCUAAUCAGAAAGCCACGGCUAACUACGUG
rnacentral:rRNA from 1 species